rnacentral:rRNA from 1 species
AUGGCAAUUGUCCAUACAUACGGGAAGCCUGACAUCUUCUUGACCAUGACUUGCAACCCUAAAUGGGAAGAGAUAACAAAUGAGUUGCUUCCUGGUCAGACGGCGCAAGACCGACCUGAUAUUGUGGCUCGCGUGUUCUACGGCAAACUAGAGGCUAUGAAAUACAUGUUGUUCAAGAAGCAUAUCCUGGGUGUUGUGGUCGCUUACGUUUACGUAGUCGAGUUCCAGAAGAGGGGCCUCCCCCAUGCACAUUUUCUGUUGAUCAUGGAUUCAACAUAUAAGCUUGUCGUCCCGGAGCAGUAUGACCGACUAAUUUCUGCAGAGCUCCCAAACAAGCAGAAGUAUCCGGAAUUGCAUGCAUUGGUGGUAAAACAUAUGACGCACGGACCCUGCGGUGCUCUCAACCCGAAGAAUGUUUGCAUGCAAGAUAACGAAUGCAAGUGUAGAUACCCGCGCCCGUUCAAUGAGAACACAACACAAGGCAAGGACUCAUACCCAGUUUAA